rnacentral:rRNA from 1 species
UGGGGAAUAUUGGACAAUGGGGGCAACCCUGAUCCAGCGAUGCCGCGUGAGUGAAGAAGGCCUUCGGGUCGUAAAGCUCUUUAGGUUGGGAAGAAGUGUGUGGGGUGAAUAGCCUUGCAUAUUGACGGUACCGACAGAAUAAGCACCGGCAAACUCUGUGCCAGCAGCCGCGGUAAUACAGAGGGUGCGAGCGUUAAUCGGAGUUACUGGGCGUAAAGGGCGCGUAGGCGGUGAUAUGAGUGUGAUGUGAAAGCCCCGGGCUCAACCUGGGAAGUGCAUCGCAAACGAUAUGACUAGAGUAGAUGAGAGGGUGGCGGAAUUUCCGGUGUAGCGGUGAAAUGCGUAGAGAUCGGAAGGAACGUCAAUGGCGAAGGCAGCCACCUGGCAUCAUACUGACGCUGAGGCGCGAAAGCGUGGGGAGCGAACAGGAUUAGAUACCCCUGUAGUCC